rnacentral:rRNA from 1 species
GACGAACGCUGGCGGCGUGCCUAAUACAUGCAAGUAGGACACAGUUGCGAACGGGUGAGUAACGCGUAGGUAACUGCCUAUUAGAGGGGGUUAACUAUUGUAAACGAUAGCUAAUACCGCAUACUAGUAGAUGGACCUUCGUUGUAUUAGCUAGUAGGUAGGGUAAUGGCCUACCUAGGCAACGAUGCAUAGCCGAGCUGAAGGGGAGGACGGCCAAGCGGGGAAUGAGAAACGGCCCAGACUACGGAGGGAGGAAGCAGGAGGGAAUCUUUGGCAAUGGGGGGAACGCGGACCGAGCAACGCCGCGGGAGUGAAGAAGGUUUUCGGAUCGGAAAGCGAUGUUGUGAAGGGAGCGGUACUUAACCAGAAAGGGACGGCUAACUACGUGCCAGCAGCCGCGGUAAUUC